rnacentral:rRNA from 1 species
UACGAAGGGGGCUAGCGUUGUUCGGAAUCACUGGGCGUAAAGCGCACGUAGGCGGAUCUUUAAGUCAGAGGUGAAAUCCCAAGGCUCAACCUUGGAACUGCCUUUGAUACUGGGGAUCUUGAGUCCGGGAGAGGUGAGUGGAACUGCGAGUGUAGAGGUGAAAUUCGUAGAUAUUCGCAAGAACACCAGUGGCGAAGGCGGCUCACUGGCCCGGUACUGACGCUGAGGUGCGAAAGCGUGGGGAGCAAACGGG